rnacentral:misc_RNA from 1 species
AAGAGACGUUGCCCUUCGGGGUAUACCUCCCACCCUUUGUUUAUUAUACCUUUGUUGCUUUGGCGGGCCCGUCCUCGGACCACCGGCUUCUGCUGGUCAGUGCCCGCCAGAGGACCUAAAACUCUGUUUGUUAAUAUUGUCUGAGUACUAUAUAAUAGCUA